rnacentral:rRNA from 1 species
GACGAACGCUGGCGGCGUGCCUAAUACAUGCAAGUAGAACGCACAGUUUAUACCGUUGCUUGCUUCACCAUAGACUGUGAGUUGCGAACGGGUGAUUAACGCGUAGGUAACCUGCCUGGUAGCGGUUGAUAACUAUUGGAAACGAUAGCUAAUACCUCAUAAUAUUAAUUAUUGCAUGAUAAUUGAUUGAAUUAUGCAACUGCAUCACUACCAUAUGGACCUGCGUUUUAUUAGCUAGUAGGUGAGGUAACGGCUCACCUAGGGGACGAUACAUAGCCGACCGGGGAGGGGGGUCGGCCCACAUGGGAAUGAGACACGGCCCAGACUACUACGGGAGGCAGCAGUAGGGAAUCUUCGGCAAUGGGCGGAAGUCUGACCGAGAAACGCCGAGUGAGUGAAGAAGGUUUUCGGAUCGUAAAGCUCUGUUGUAAGAGAAGAACGGGUGUGAGAGUGGAAAGUUCACAAUGUGACGGUAUCUUACCAGAAAGGGACGGCUAACUACGUG